rnacentral:rRNA from 1 species
UACGGAGGGGGCUAGCGUUGUUCGGAAUUACUGGGCGUAAAGCGCACGUAGGCGGCUUUGUAAGUUAGAGGUGAAAGCCCGGGGCUCAACUCCGGAAUUGCCUUUAAGACUGCAUCGCUAGAAUUGUGGAGAGGUAAGUGGAAUUCCCGGUGUAGCGGUGAAAUGCGCAGAUAUCGGGAGGAACACCCGUAGCGAAGGCGGCACUCUGGGCCGUGACUGACGCUGAGGA